rnacentral:tRNA from 4 species
GCCUCCUUAGCUCAGUUGGCCAGAGCACCUGUCUUGUAAACAGGGGGUCACCGGUUCGAAUCCGGUAGGGGGCUCCA